UACGUAGGGGGCAAGCGUUGUCCGGAAUCAUUGGGCGUAAAGAGCGUGUAGGCGGCUCGGUAAGUCCGCUGUGAAAGUCCAGGGCUCAACCCUGGAAUGCCGGUGGAAACUGUCGAGCUCGAGUCCGGAAGAGGCGAGUGGAAUUCCUGGUGUAGCGGUGAAAUGCGCAGAUAUCAGGAGGAACACCAAUGGCGAAGGCAGCUCACUGGGACGGUAUUGACGCUGAGACGCGAAAGCGUGGGGAGCAAACAGG
rnacentral:rRNA from 1 species